GUUGAUAUAAUUUAAUAAAAAUAUUAGAUUGUGAUUCUAAAAAUAGAGGUUAAACCCCUCUUAUCCACC
rnacentral:tRNA from 1 species